rnacentral:rRNA from 1 species
UAAUACGGGAGGCAGCAGUGGGGAAUAUUGCACAAUGGGCGCAAGCCUGAUGCAGCCAUGCCGCGUGUAUGAAGAAGGCCUUCGGGUUGUAAAGUACUUUCAGCAGUGAGGAAGGGGUGUCCGUUAAUAGCGUGCAUCUUUGACGUUAGCUGCAGAAGAAGCACCGGCUAACUCCGUGCCAGCAGCCGCGGUAAUACGGAGGGUGCGAGCGUUAAUCGGAAUUACUGGGCGUAAAGCGCAUGCAGGUGGUUUGUUAAGUCAGAUGUGAAAGCCCGGGGCUCAACCUCGGAAUAGCAUUUGAAACUGGCAGACUAGAGUACUGUAGAGGGGGGUAGAAUUUCAGGUGUAGCGGUGAAAUGCGUAGAGAUCUGAAGGAAUACCGGUGGCGAAGGCGGCCCCCUGGACAGAUACUGACACUCAGAUGCGAAAGCGUGGGGAGCAAACAGGAUUAGAUACCCUGGUAGUCCACGCCGUAAACGAUGUCUACUUGGAGGUUGUGGCCUUGAGCCGUGGCUUUCGGAGCUAACGCUUUAA